rnacentral:rRNA from 1 species
UGGGGAAUCUUGCACAAUGGGCGAAAGCCUGAUGCAGCGACGCCGCGUGCGGGAUGAAGGCCUUCGGGUUGUAAACCGCUUUCAGCAGGGACGAGGCCGCAAGGUGACGGUACCUGCAGAAGAAGCCCCGGCUAACUACGUGCCAGCAGCCGCGGUAAUACGUAGGGGGCAAGCGUUAUCCGGAUUCAUUGGGCGUAAAGCGCGCGUAGGCGGUUUGUUAGGUCAGGAGUUAAAUCUGGGGGCUCAACCCCUAUCCGCUCCUGAUACCGGCAGGCUUGAGUCUGGUAGGGGAAGGCGGAAUUCCAAGUGUAGCGGUGAAAUGCGCAGAUAUUGGGAGGAACACCAGUAGCGAAGGCGGCUUUCUGGACUGCAACUGACACUGAGGCACGAAAGCGUGGGUAGCAAACAGG